rnacentral:lncRNA from 1 species
GGUCUGCGGGGCCCUCGGGUUCAAGCUGGCCACUCCCAGGGCUGGCUCCGGAGCGGGCUCUGGGUCCCGCAGGCUCCAGCAAGCCCGCGCCCCGCCCGGCGUCCCUGCGAGGGGCCCGGCGCCCUCCUUCCCUUCUCCCUCUGCUCCCCGCCCCUCCUCUCCCCGCCCCGUCCUCUCCCCGCCCCUCCGCCGCUCCUUUCUCCUUCCCAGGCCUCCUCUUCCUCUUUGUCCUUCCCCCAUCCUCGGUCGCCAGCGCUUCUCCGGCAGCCUCGUCCUGAAAUCGUGCGAUUGUGAGCUAGAAGCCUUCUGGGUCACUCAUAAACCAAAGAGAAAAUAAGGAAUUCCUUGGGGCUUAAUACAAAUCCUUGAGAGUUCUAGCCCAGAUGCAGCCUAGAAAUGUGAAGAUGAAGGAGGUAGGUAGUAGGGUUGUUAUUAAUCCUAGGGGAAACCCUCCACUAUGGGAUUCUGAAAUCAGCAGAUAAAUGCUGCAGCCCCCAGACUUGU